rnacentral:tRNA from 1 species
GGCACUGUGUCCGAGUGGUCCAAGGAGUGUGACUCAAGCGAAAGCUUGCCCUUAAUCUGGGUUUCUCAUCUGUGUAUGCAGGCAGGGGUUCGAAUCCCCUCGGUGUCA